UGGUCCAGAUCGAUGAAAAAACAUGGCCGCCAGGGGGGGGGCAGUUUUCUCUAUAUGUAUAUAGUGAAAACAUGGGAUCACUCUAGAAGUCACAUUUUUGGUCCAAUGUUCAUGAAAUUUAGUCAGAACAUGUGUUUUUUGGGUAUGACAGUUGAGUUCGAAAAUGGUUUGGAUCGGUAAAAAAGCAUGGCCGCUGGGGGGGGGGGUCAUUUUCCUUAUAUUUAUAUAAUAAUAACAGCUUUUGAACACUAUAUAGUUUAUCAUGUCAAGGGAUGUAACUGCAAAUGAAAAAUUAUGUUGAAUUGACAGAAUUGUCUCCCUUUUUAAAAUAUUUGUUUUAAGCACAAGAAGAUUAAGUGGAAUUAAUUAUAAAUGAUAGUUUUACAUUCUGGAAGAUAGCAAACUUUUGAAUAUGUUUUUUAUUGUUUGAUGAUUCUGUACAAUAUGGCAUUCUUUUGUCAAACAAUUAAAGCGAGACUAUACCAUUUUUAUAUGUGUUAAAUUGUAAUAUAUAUUGAUAAAUACAUGUGACAAUAACACAAAAUAGGCAAGAUAUUGAAGACGAAUUUCAUAAAAUGCAGCAGAGACAAAUUAGCGCUCCGAGCUGAUGGUGACGAAGAUAUUUCGUACAUAUUUUCCUACAAUAACCGAAGAAUUCGUCUUUUUAUUUGGAUCGGAGUUAGUGUUCGUGUGUCGAAUGAAUAGACAUCGCUGCAGGAAUUUAAAAACAACCAUUAAACUAAAUUAAGAUUCACAUCGUGCAUGCAUGAUAUACAUUCUCGCGAAUUCGACUGUACAGACAUUGUUAAAAUUAACAAGCAAAUUCGUUGAAUUGAUAUCCCCAGCCAUUAUACUUCUGGAUACAAAAGUUUUCUGGAUGGACAACGCCAACGUGUAUCAUCCUCUUAUCCAUAUAUAUAUAUAUAUAUAUACUCAUAUAAAGUUUCAAUGAAAUCCGUCAAAGCACUUCCAAGAUAUGACUCCGGACACACAAUAAUUUUUCAAGAUACAAAGGGCCAUAACUCCGUUAUAAUCCAAUGGUGUACAAUUCCAUUUGGCGUGCAUGAUCCUCUUAUCCAUAUAUAUACUCAUACCAAGUUUCAAGGAAAUCCCCCAUGGCACUACCAAGAUAUGGCUCCGGUCGGACAGAAAGACGGAGAGACAGAAAGACGGACGAACGGACAACGCCAAAACAAUAUCUCUCCGCCUAUGGCUCUUCUUAAGUUUGAUUUUAAAUUAUAUUGAAAUGUAUGGCCUUGUUAACACUCUAGGGGUCACAUUUAUUUUCCGAUCAUCAUGAAACUUGGUCUGAAGAUUUGUCCCAAUGAUAUCUUGGAUGAGUUCGAAAAUGGUUUUUGUUGCUUUAAAAACAUGGCCACCAGGGGCGGGGAAUUUUUCCUUAUAUGGCUAUAUAUGGCUUAAGUAAAACCUUGUUAACACUCUAGAGGCCACAUUUAUUGUCCAAUCUUAAUGAAAUUUGGUCAGAAGAUUGGUCUCAAUGAUAUCUUGGAUGAGUUAGAAAAUAAUUAGGCCACAAUUAAAAUAUUGUUGGUUUGCCCUUUACCGACCCUAAAUUUUACAGGUGGGUAGGUAGGUAGUCAAUAUAAAUUGCCGCCAUAUAGUCUUUUGAUGUUUUUUGCUUUGGCAGACUCUUGGCUCAGAUUUAUUCUGAACGCGAAUUAUUUCAGCUAGGUAGGUAGGUAGGAAAAUAAUUUUAUUUUAUUUGAGAAUGAUAUUUUUAAUACACUAAUAGUCUAUGAAUAUUUAAAACACUGUUAUUAAAGCACUGUUGCAGUGUACGAAGCCCUAUGUGGCUUAACAUUAUCUUGUUUGCUGUUUCUUGCAAUUAUUAAUAUCAAAUGCAUGCUUGUGUGUUAUUACAUCAAAUAUGUGUUCAUUAUAUGUGACGUCGUCGGCGAAAAUCAGUCUUGUGUACGCUGACGUUUAUGUCGGGAAAUAGCGAGAUUAAAAUCUUGUACGAAAAUGCGCUGGAUAUUUCUUCUUUUUUAUACAAUUUCUCGGUUCAUAAUUUAUGACAUGCUUUGAAAAUUUCCACAAUAUAGCAUGAAUAUGUCCUUUAAACACUGGCACAAUUGGUGGUUUGUAAUCCGUUUAUUUAAUUCAAAUUAUUCCCUUUGAAAAGCACAGUUUCGUUUUAGCAGUUCACAGGUAGCGCAACCUGUCUCGUAGUGUUCAUUUUCAAUGGCUAUUAAACGCUGUAAAUCAAAAUGACAUCGUGUACUGUUGGAUGCCUUCAAUAGAAGAAGGUUCGGAAAUGAUAUUUCCACAUGCUUAAAAUAGGUAAGUGAAAGAUAUAUGUGUAUUUUGGCUUUGUGAUUAAUUUUCGCGACUCGCAAGUUUGACCCGGAAGUAAACUGUACGAUAGCAACUGAAUUGUUUACAUGAAAUUGUGAUAGAUUUAAAUUUGACUUUAAAAUAUCAUGUCUCAAUUUAUUAACACCAACACUAUUCCAUGUUAAAUUUCACAAGACCAGGACACUUCGUUUUUAAAUUUAAAUGAUUUUCGAAUGUAAAUGAACUUUAUUUUGACACUUUUCACCCCGCUACUCAAGAUUUGUUUGAUGUGGUAGAUGAUUAUGAAAGUGACCUUGAGUCAAACCAUGAUGAGUCUAAUAUUGAUAUUGAUGUAGAAGCUGUCAAAUAAAACAACAUCAGAUACUGCGUUUAUUGAAAAGCCUGAACUUGAUGUGACAGAAGCUGAUAAACAAAUUAAAUUUAAGGUUGACUUUUUAGAAAUGUUUAAGCACAAAUUUAAUUAAUAAUUAUUAUUAUAAAAAAGUGUUAUGUAGAUAAAUAACCAAUAAUUUGAUAUUCUACAGGUUGGGAAGUUAUUUUUCAAGACCCCGAGGAAGUAUGAGGUGUAUGGAAUCAGCUGUGAAGGAUCUGGAGAGCAGGUGUUUUACCUAGCAUACGAAGGCCAGUCACAUGGUAAAGGUGCAAAUGCUGUGGUCAGCCAGGUUCACUACUACCUCAACACAUACGGCGAACAGCAUGCUCACUUUCAGUGUGACAACUGUUGCGGCCAAAAUAAAAACAACAUAGUCAUCUGGUUGGUACCUUCUGUGGAGAGUUCUUGUAGGUUUACACAGAAUCAUCUAAUCUUUAUGUUGAUAAGACAUACAAAGUUUACACCAGAUUGGCACUUUGGCAUCUGAAAGUCAAAGUGGAGAAACUUCAAUGCAGAAAUGUUGUCUGAUGUCGCUGCGUCUGUGGGGUUAUCGUCAAGGACGGGCCACAACAUCCCCCAGCUUGUUGUGGACAUUUCCAAUCCUGUUGUUAUCUAAGACAGGAAGGAUUACCUUUCGACAUUGUUUCACCCCAUAAAGAAUGUCACCAAAUUUCACCAAUGCCAUGUGUCAGCGGAUCAUCCCGGUGUUGUGGAGUGCAGGGAAUUUAGUGACUCACCAGUAGUCAGAAUCACUUUUAGGAAGGUCUUGAAAGUGAAUUUUCAUGUGAGUUGUGACAACCUGCCAUAAGAAAUGUUUGCGAAAGGGCUUGAUCUGGACCAUCAGUGGUAUUUAUUUGAAAACAUUAGUGAAAUCUGUCGCACAGAUGAACCAAAAACUUGACAUGUCCGAAAAGCGCUACUGGUUCGCAACAAAAAAGAGACUGUGCCCCCCAAAAAAGAAGAUGCAUUAAGAUGCGCAUCUGAUCUUCUCUGAUCAUGCCACAACAAUUACAUACAUCAUGUAUCAGUGUUUAUUUUGGCCAAGGUAUUGGGUGAUACAUUUUCCCCCAAACAAUGAAAAAAAUCCUCUAUUCCUAGGAAAGCUAAAACAUGUAUACAAGUGCUAAAUGUGUCAGUUGAAACAGGUUUUGAAAUGUUCAAUACAAACGUUUGUUGUUCUAAUUGCACAAGCUUGUUUUCAAGUUUUUUAUAUCUCAUAUUUACAAAACAAAAAUCAUUUUUUCCAUGUAACCAUGAUAUUGUUUUCACCUUAUGGACACAGACUGUCUUUCCGAAAAACUGGAAAAAAAUCCGUGUGAAUAUUUUAUUUAUUUAUGUUUUACAAUGAAAAUCCUAUAUUUUUGUUUGUUUGCUACAUUGUUUCCAUAGUAACAAAAACAAACAAUUUUUAUGUUUAAGUUAUUGUUUGUCUUUUUUUCUCUAUCAGAAAUAAUGAUAAAUAAUGAUUAUUUCAUUUACUGAAUCAUUUAGUAUCCAAGUGUACUUUCAACCAACACUUUUCAAUGCUGUUUUUUUUUCAUUCUGUUGUGUUUGAGGUUACAUUAUACUUAAAUACACAUGUAAAUGAAUAAAAAAGGAAAUUGUUCAUGGAACACACAAAUUAUUGAUUGUUAUUGUUUAACUAGUUACAAAACAGUGAAAUUAAUGUUGUGUUUGCUUUUAAACAAACACUUGAUUGAAAAUACAAUUCAUAGAUUUAUAAAAGGCGUGAUUGUGUGCUCUGGUGAUUAUUAACAUGUAGAUCGGUUACCAUAGCAACACAAAUGGUACAUUUUAAAUGUCCAUAAUGCUGUUGUCAGUUUAUUGCACUAUAAUUAUGUAUUUGACUAAAGGAAAGAUUAUUGUUUAAAUAAAACAAUGUGCUUGUUGUU